GGCCACAAGGAACACUGCUGCCUUCGGCUCACGCUGAGGUGCAAACAAGCUGGACUCCCUGAAAGUUCCAGCAGAUAUACAUAUAUAUAUAUAUAUUAUGAUGUAUAUCCCAUUGAGGCUUAGGAGAAAAUUAUAUGCAAAACACAAUAAGCAGUUGUAAGAGGAGAGACAGUAGCUGCGUUGUCUUCCUUCGUCCUGUGUGCUUCUUACUCAUUUGAUUUCCUGUCGAAAUAGGCGCUCUCUCCAGAGGCGAAACACAUGAUUUCGAGUACGCGCACGUGGAGGUGCGCAUCGAAAGUGGCUCUCCGCUUCGGCCAUCGCGGCGCCUGUGCUAUUCCGCAUCCAAAGAAGGCGUACCGUGGCGGAGAGGAUGCCUACGCGUUUCAUCCUUACUGCAUCGGUGUGGCUGACGGCGUUGGCGGAUACGCGUCUCAUGGCAUCGAGCCUGCCAUCUAUACACGCAAUGUGAUGCGUUUCGCGCUGGAGUAUGUAGAGAGAGAAGCCAGUCGCUCAAAACGAGCUACCGCCCUCGCGGCUCUCAACUACGGGUACAAGAAGGCAAAUGAUGCGAGGCAGCCUGGCGGCUGUCCUGUCGCUCUGGCGACAAUUGUAGACAACACACAUGCGUCAUUACUGAACUUAGGUGAUUGCGGACUGGUGAUUGUGCGGCAGGGCAAGCUUCUGUAUCGUACAGAGAUUCAGCAGCACUCCUUCAACUGCCCCUACCAGCUCCCUGAGGAUCCGCCUAGCGCUGGCGAGCAGGCCAAGAUUGAAGUGCGCGCCGGCGACGUCUUCCUUUGCAUGAGCGACGGUGUGCUGGACAACGUUGAGCUGGACCGCCUCCUUGAACAUCUCGGCGAGGUGCCAGCGACGGGGUGCCGCAAUGUAGCUGAAGCUAUCGGCCAGGAGGCUUUUCGAAACGGACAAGACCGCCGCUAUUUUUCACCUUUUGCGCGGCACGCAGAGGAAGCUGGGUACCGCUACACCGGCGGAAAGCUUGACGACAUUACGGCACUGGUGGCUCAAGUGACCGCUGACAGCGAGGAGGGAACUGCAAACUGCCCUCCCUUGAUCACGAUGCUGUUGAACUUGGACAAGUGAGUAGAGGCAUCCCUGAAAAAACGACGGAUAGUACCACCUAAAGGUAACAUCGGCCUCGGGUAUGUCUGAAGACGCUUUUAUAUGUGCUCUCUGUCGCAUCGGGCUCUCACAAGGCUUCCUUUUCUGCGAGCUUUGACACACGUGGCUCUGCUACUGUUGUGCAUGCUCUCUUGGGUUUGGGCAGAGGUGCUUGCCCAUGUUUUUCAAGAUGGGGCGGGUAGGGGGGGGAGCGAAGCACAUUUGGCGCGUUGGUGUGUGGUGCAUUCUGGGUGUCUUGAUGCUGAUGAAAGAUGGACCUAAAGACACACACACACACACACUUUUUGGAGUGUCGCUGGCUGUGAGGCUGUGCACGCUCGCUUUCUCUCGUGUCUGGGCACCCCCGACUCUUGCACCUCUCCAGCAUUGACUGUUGCUUCCUUUUAAAACUCUGACACUUACAUUUGUUUCCGAAAAGGCGACAGCUCCAGCCACGAUGGACAUCAACCCCAUAUAGAGCACAAUCUGCUUUUCGUAGUACGAACGAGGCUGCCGCGCUGACGAGGAGGAUGGCAUCAACAAGGGCGACAACCACGUGACACGAGUAUGUUCGCUGCCGCUGAAACGAAC
rnacentral:misc_RNA from 1 species